AGCAGCAGCCGCGGUAAUGCGUAGGGUGCAAGCGUUAAUCGGAAUUACUGGGCGUAAAGCGUGCGCAGGCGGUUAUAUAAGUCAGAUGUGAAAUCCCCGGGCUCAACCUGGGAACUGCAUUUGAGGCUGUAUGGCUAGGGUGUGCCAGAGGGGGGUAGAAUUCCACGUGUAGCAGUGAAAUGCGUAGAUAUGUGGAGGAAUACCGAUGGCGAAGGCAGCCCCCUGGGAUAACACUGACGCUCAUGCACGAAAGCGUGGGGAGCAAACAGGAUUAGAUACCCCCGUAGUCCCUGUCUCUUAUAC
rnacentral:rRNA from 1 species